ACGAAAAAUAACGAUACGGGACUCAUCCGAGGCCCCGUAAUCGGAAUGAGUACACUCUAAACCCUUUAACGAGGAUCAAUUGGAGGGCAAGUCUGGUGCCAGCAGCCGCGGUAAUUCCAGCUCCAAUAGCGUAUAUUAAAGUUGUUGCGGUUAAAAAGCUCGUAGUCGAAUUUGUGUCCCGCGCCGCCGGUUCAUCGCUCGCGGUGUCAACUGGCGUGUCCGCGGGACGUCCUGCCGGUGGGCUUAGCCCUUUCGGGCGGCCCAAUCUCAAUCCCACCGCGGUGCUCUUCACUGAGUGUCGAGGUGGGCCGGCACGUUUACUUUGAACAAAUUAGAGUGCUUAAAGCAGGCUAAAACAUCGCCUGAAUACUGUGUGCAUGGAAUAAUGGAAUAGGACCUCGGUUCUAUUUUGUUGGUUUUCGGAACCCCGAGGUAAUGAUUAAUAGGAACGGAUGGGGGCAUUCGUAUUGCGACGUUAGAGGUGAAAUUCUUGGAUCGUCGCAAGACGGACAGAAGCGAAAGCAUUUGCCAAAAACGCUUUCAUUGAUCAAGAACGAAAGUUAGAGGUUCGAAGGCGAUCAGAUACCGCCCUAGUUCUAACCAUAAACGAUGCCAGCUAGCGAUCCGCCGACGUUCCUCCGAUGACUCGGCGGGCAGCUUCCGGGAAACCAAAGCUUUUGGGUUCCGGGGGAAGUAUGGUUGCAAAGCUGAAACUUAAAGGAAUUGACGGAAGGGCACCACCAGGAGUGGAGCCUGCGGCUUAAUUUGACUCAACACGGGAAACCUCACCAGGCCCGGACACCGGAAGGAUUGACAGAUUGAGAGC
rnacentral:rRNA from 1 species